GGCCGCGGGAAUUCGAUUCAGGCCUAACACAUGCAAGUCGAACGGUAACAGGAAGCAGCUUGCUGCUUCGCUGACGAGUGGCGGACGGGUGAGUAAUGUCUGGGAAACUGCCUGAUGGAGGGGGAUAACUACUGGAAACGGUAGCUAAUACCGCAUAGCGUCGCAAGACCAAAGAGGGGGACCUUCGGGCCUCUUGCCAUCGGAUGUGCCCAGAUGGGAUUAGCUAGUAGGUGGGGUAACGGCUCACCUAGGCGACGAUCCCUAGCUGGUCUGAGAGGAUGACCAGCCACACUGGAACUGAGACACGGUCCAGACUCCUACGGGAGGCAGCAGUGGGGAAUAUUGCACAAUGGGCGCAAGCCUGAUGCAGCCAGGCCGCGUGUAUGAAGAAGGCCUUCGGGUUGUAAAGUAAUGGAGCGGGGAGGAAGGUGUUGAGGUUAAUAACCUCAGCAAUUGACGUACCCGCAGA
rnacentral:rRNA from 1 species